UACAGAGGGGGCAAGCGUUGUUCGGAAUUACUGGGCGUAAAGGGCGCGUAGGCGGCCUUCUAAGUCGAACGUGAAAUCCCCGGGCUCAACCCGGGAACUGCGUCCGAUACUGGAAGGCUUGAAUCCGGGAGAGGGAUGUGGAAUUCCAGGUGUAGCGGUGAAAUGCGUAGAUAUCUGGAAGAACACCAAAGGCGAAGGCAGCGUCCUGGCGAGUCACUGACGCUCAGGUGCGAAAGCUAGGGGAGCGAACGGG
rnacentral:rRNA from 1 species